rnacentral:lncRNA from 1 species
AAUAUUUAUAUUAAAAUAUUUUAAUAAUAAAUUUUAAUUAAAAUAUUUAAUAUUAUAUUGUUUUUUUAAUUAUUAAUUAAAUAAAUUUCAGUAAAAAAUCAUGUAAUUUAAUCUGUGUGCCAAAUAAUUUUUUGUAAAAAUUUGUUAGUAAUUAAAUUAUUUUAUGAAGAUAUAUGUGAAAAAAAAUUAUUGAAAAAUUAAUAUAAGUUAAAAAUGUACUAAAUUUAAUAGAUAUAUUAAAUAUUAGUUAUUUUAUUUUAUUUUAUAAAAAUAUUUUCUACAAAUUUUAAUAAGUAUUUUGUUUAAUUAACUAAAAUUAAUCAUAAAAAAUUAAAAAUUAUAAAAAAUUAGUUAAAAAUAUAAA